rnacentral:rRNA from 1 species
GACGAACGCUGGCGGCGUGCUUAACACAUGCAAGUCGAACGGAAAGGCUCCAGCUUGCUGGCGUACUCGAGUGGCGAACGGGUGAGUAACACGUGGGUAAUCUGCCCUGCACUCUGGGAUAAGCCUGGGAAACUGGGUCUAGUACUGGAUAUGACCUUUCUCCUUAUGGGGUUUGGUGGAAAGUUUUUCGGUGUAGGAUGAGCCCGCGGCCUAUCAGCUUGUUGGUGGGUGAUGGCCUACCAAGGCGACGACGGGUAGCCGGCCUGAGAGGGUGAUCGGCCACAUUGGGACUGAGAUACGGCCCAGACUCCUACGGGAGGCAGCAGUGGGGAAUAUUGCACAAUGGGCGGAAGCCUGAUGCAGCGACGCCGCGUGAGGGAUGACGGCCUUCGGGUUGUAAACCUCUUUCAGCAGGGACGAAGCGUAAGUGACGGUACCUGCAGAAGAAGCACCGGCUAACUAUGUG